GACGGAAGGUGCAAGCGUUGCUCGGAAUCACUGGGCGUAAAGGGUGCGUAGGCGGCUUGGUGGGUCUGGUGUGAAAGCCCCGGGCUCAGCCCGGGAAGGGCACUAGAAACUGCCGAGCUGGAGUGCCGGAGGGGAGAGUGGAAUUCCUGGUGUAGCGGUGAAAUGCGCAGAUAUCGGGAAGAACACCCGUGGCGAAGGCGGCUCUCUGGAACGCAACUGACGCUGAGACGCGAAAGCGUGGGGAGCAAACAGG
rnacentral:rRNA from 1 species